GCGGGGCCCGAGCACUGAGGGAAGCUGUACCUCCUUGCAAAGGAC
rnacentral:lncRNA from 1 species